GAACGGGUGAGUAAUACAUAAGUAACCUGCCCUAGACAGGGGGAUAACUAUUGGAAACGAUAGCUAAGACCGCAUAGGUACGGACACUGCAUGGUGACCGUAUUAAAAGUGCCUCAAAGCACUGGUAGAGGAUGGACUUAUGGCGCAUUAGCUGGUUGGCGGGGUAACGGCCCACCAAGGCGACGAUGCGUAGCCGACCUGAGAGGGUGACCGGCCACACUGGGACUGAGACACGGCCCAGACUCCUACGGGAGGCAGCAGUAGGGAAUUUUCGGCAAUGGGGGAAACCCUGACCGAGCAACGCCGCGUGAAGGAAGAAGGUUUUCGGAUUGUAAACUUCUGUUAUAAAGGAAGAACGGCGGCUACAGGAAAUGGUAGCCGAGUGACGGUACUUUAUUAGAAAGCCACGGCUAACUACGUGCCAGCAGCCGCGGUAAUACGUAGGUGGCAAGCGUUAUCCGGAAUUAUUGGGCGUAAAGAGGGAGCAGGCGGCAGCAAGGGUCUGUGGUGAAAGCCUGA
rnacentral:rRNA from 1 species